rnacentral:miRNA from 1 species
AUCACCUGGGGAUCUUGUUAAAAUGCAGAUUCUGAUUUAUCACAUGGGGUGGGGCCUGAGAUUCUGAAUUUCUAACAAGUUUCCAUG